AUGCAAGUCGAGCGGUAGAGAGAAGCUUGCUUCUCUUGAGAGCGGCGGACGGGUGAGUAAUGCCUAGGAAUCUGCCUGGUAGUGGGGGAUAACGUUCGGAAACGGACGCUAAUACCGCAUACGUCCUACGGGAGAAAGCAGGGGACCUUCGGGCCUUGCGCUAUCAGAUGAGCCUAGGUCGGAUUAGCUAGUUGGUGAGGUAAUGGCUCACCAAGGCGACGAUCCGUAACUGGUCUGAGAGGAUGAUCAGUCACACUGGAACUGAGACACGGUCCAGACUCCUACGGGAGGCAGCAGUGGGGAAUAUUGGACAAUGGGCGAAAGCCUGAUCCAGCCAUGCCGCGUGUGUGAAGAAGGUCUUCGGAUUGUAAAGCACUUUAAGUUGGGAGGAAGGGCAGUUACCUAAUACGUGAUUGUUUUGACGUUACCGACAGAAUAAGCACCGGCUAACUCUGUGCCAGCAGCCGCGGUAAUACAGAGGGUGCAAGCGUUAAUCGGAAUUACUGGGCGUAAAGCGCGCGUAGGUGGUUAGUUAAGUUGGAUGUGAAAUCCCCGGGCUCAACCUGGGAACUGCAUUCAAAACUGACUGACUAGAGUAUGGUAGAGGGUGGUGGAAUUUCCUGUGUA
rnacentral:rRNA from 1 species